AUUGUAUUGGGGCGUACCGCUGACGUUGUCAGCUCCAUGCCCGUGUAGUUUGGAUCCGGGAAGCUGCGAUGCGCCAUUGCGCCUUAGAUCCUCUCCCCCAGGUCGCAACGUUUCUCCGCGCUCCGUCGGCGCAGAAGCUGACAAGC
rfam:Pseudomonas batumici strain TCM B-321 Contig_22, whole genome shotgun sequence.